rnacentral:pre_miRNA from 1 species
UUCACCAACCUGGAACGAACCCCUUUUGAUUGAUUUGUCUUUUUCCGCUUACUGCCGGUGGUGUUCGAAAGUCCCGACAGCAAACAGAAAAAGGCGCCUCAAUCAAUUACAGAACGCCGUCAAAUUAGUGCCCCAAGAA